rnacentral:tRNA from 1 species
ACCUGGGUGAUACAAUGGUUAAUGUGCUCACCUGCUAACUGAAAGGUUGGUGGUUCAAGUCCAUCCAGAGGUA